GUCUAUAAGCAAUGGAUGUCUUGGCUCCUCACACGAUGAAGAACGUGGCAUAAUGUGUUAAGUAACCGGAGUUGCAAACAUCAUGACAGGUUAAUCUUUGAAUGCAAAUUGCGCUAAACUCGAUCUCGGUCGAGAAGCAUGGGUGUGACAGUACAA
rnacentral:rRNA from 1 species